rnacentral:piRNA from 1 species
UGAAUUGAAGUGACUCUCCGUACUUUUCCUU